rnacentral:rRNA from 1 species
UACGAAGGGAGCUAGCGUUGCUCGGAAUCACUGGGCGUAAAGGGUGCGUAGGCGGGUCUUUAAGUCCGGGGUGAAAUCCUGGAGCUCAACUCCAGAACUGCCUUUGAUACUGAAGAUCUUGAGUUCGGGAGAGGUGAGUGGAAAUGCGAGUGUAGGGGUGAAAUUCGUAGAUAUUCGCAAGAACACCAGUGGCGAAGGCGGCUCACUGGCCCGAUACUGACGCUGAGGCACGAAAGCGUGGGGAGCAAACAGG